GCUGGGCAUGGUGGCGCAUGCCUGUAAUCCCAGCUACUAGGGAGGCUGAAGCAGGAGAAUCACUUGAACCCAGGAGGCAGAGGUUGCAGUGAGCGGAAACCGUGCCACUGCACUCCAGCCUGGGUGACAGAGUGAAACUCUGCCUCAA
ensembl:misc_RNA Metazoa_SRP Metazoan signal recognition particle RNA